GGGGACAGCGCGGCACCUGAGUUCUCCAGGUUAAGGCCUGGUCGCCCUGAGCAAGUCAUUGGCCACACAGAAAUACUCACAGGAGCUACACUGAUGAUUGCUUCCUAUGUGCCAGGUACUAUGUGCAAAGUUCAAGCCACAGCUCACAGUCCUGUUGGGUUGAGUGCUAUCAUAUUAUCCCAUUUACCAGAUGAGAAGACUGAGGCCCACAAGGAGCAAGUGAUUUGACCUAGUCCACACAGCUGCCCCUGAUGCAGCUGAGCCGUGGCGUGGAGAGGUUGCUAAUCCUCCCCUCCCCUUCACUCUGGGCCUCCCAUCUGGCGCACCUUCCCCAGGUGUCAGCUGUGCUGGAAACUGCUCAUCCCAGGCUCAGACAUGUUGUGUGACCUUAAACCACCUCUGGAGGUGGUGGGGACAGGGGCUGAAACUCCCAGUGUGUUCCCUCCCUCAUCCACAUCCGGGCCCUAAGAGGCUCCUGCUGGUGGCUAGGGCAGAAUUGGGUGCAACUGUUUGCUUUACAAAGCGGACAAUUGCGCCCACCCCCUCAGUGCUCCAGGGCACAGCUCCACACCUGUUCUCCACCCUCCUGCCCAGGUGCAGAGAACAAAAGAACACCCACUCACCAAGGUUAUUACCUUGAAGGGGGCGGGGAGAAAGACUGCCCUAGGGAGAGCCCUAUUUGGGAAAGGGAGAAAAGCUCCCGGGAAUUAGGAGGUUUGCAUCUGCACAGUUUAAUACAUACAGCUUUCUUUGGUAAUGAGAAUGUUCUAUAUCUACGCUGCGAGCGAGGUACGACAGCCACCAGAACUUGUGGCUGUAAAGGCCUUAAAAUGUGGCUGGUGUGACUGAGGAACUCAAGUUCCAGUUAAAUUUAAAUAGCCACCUGUGCCUAGUAGUUACCUUAUUGGACAGCACAGGCUUAACAGUUGGCUCUGUUGUAUAUAUAUAUACAACACAAAUAUGAUGAUAUAUAGCAAAUAACAUCUGUUGAGCGCACGCUUUGUGCCAGGUACAUUGCUUGCGUUCUCCUAUUUAUUCCCCACUACUACUCUGCAGGAGAGGUGUUAUUGUCCCCAUUUUACAGAUGAGGACACUGAGGAUCAGAAUGGCAACAUCAUUUGGCCAAUGCUCCAGAAUAAGGAAAUGCUAAAGGCUGAAAGGGAACACCCAAAAUCACAUUUUCAAACCCCACUCAGCUAAAAUAAACCCAAAGACCCCUGCAGCCUUUGCAACUUCUAGUCUCUACAAAUGAAUGGAGUGUGCAAAUUGCUAAAGGAAUGCAAAUCAGCCUACCAUUUGGGGGACAAAGCUCAGAUCCUCCGGUCA